rfam:Trichobilharzia regenti genome assembly, scaffold: TRE_scaffold0001676
AUCCAGCUGAAGGACGAGUUUCAAAUAGGACGAAAUGCACAUCCUGGAU